rnacentral:rRNA from 1 species
AUUGAACGCUGGCGGCAGGCCUAACACAUGCAAGUCGAACGGUAACAGGAAACAGCUUGCUGUUUCGCUGACGAGUGGCGGACGGGUGAGUAAUGUCUGGGAAACUGCCUGAUGGAGGGGGAUAACUACUGGAAACGGUAUCUAAUACCGCAUAACGUCUCAAGACCAAAGAGGGGGACCCUCGGGCCUCUUGCCAUCGGAUGUGCCCAGAUGGGAUUAGCUUGUUGGUGGGGUAUCGGCUCACCAAGUCGACGAUCCCUAGCUGGUCUGAGAGGAUGACAGGCCGCACUUGAACUGAGUAACGAGCCAGAGUCCUACGGGAGGCAGCAGGGGGGAAUAUUGCACAAUGGGGGAAAGCCUGAUGCAGCCAUGCCGCGUGUAUGAAGAAAGCCUUCGGGUUGUAAAGUACUUUCAGCGGGGAGGAAGGGAGUAAAGUUAAAACCCGGGCUCAUUGACGUGACCCGCAGAAGAAGCACCGGCUAACUCCGU